UGCAUCUCUCUCUCCCUCUCCCACACACAUGACACCCUCCUCCCUGCUUUCAACCCUAGUAGCCCCCUGUGAGUCUCCCCCAGAGCUGGAAAAAUCAGGCUCGGUUUCUCACAGGCUGAAAUUCCGCUUCGUUUCCAUCCUGCUGCUUUGGGGGGCACAGGGCAAUGUGUGGGGAGGAAAACGCAAGACCUCUCUCUCUUGCCCCAAACACCACUCCCUUCCAGCUUUCCCCCCUCCACCUCCUCUGCUGCAGGUGACUCCCUGGAGGAGAGGGGGAGGGGGAGAAAUACAGCGCAGGAGGAGGGAGGGAGUUGAGGAGUGGGACAGAGGCAGGGAGGAAAAGGAGGGAGGUCCAGGCGUUGGGGGGGGGGGGGGAGUAGGUAUUAGGAACAGCUGCUCCAGCCUCCGCUCGCUGCAGCCAACGCACAACACGCAACAGCAGCAGCGCACGGAGCAUCAGGAUCAAGCCAGCAUGGAUAAAACUUUCGCCCAGUACAGCUCGGGGUGGCUGUUCCUGACAGCAGCGGCGCUCUGCUUAUGGGGUGCCAAAGGCAAGGUAUAUUAUUCCUGUGGUGCAGUAUUGGACUCCAUGGAAAGAGGUCUUAUUUUAUCACCAGGCUUUCCAAAUAACUACUACCCAGGGACACACUGUGUGUGGCAGUUUUUCAUUCCUGUUAGAACCCAUCUUAUCCUGGAAAUUCUUGACUUUGAUGUAUUUGAGAGCUCAAAUGAAACUCCAGACCCUUGGGAUGGUUUUUUUUCUUCUUCUAAAAGAAAAAAUAUGGAGAUGUUUCCUACUGAAGAAAACUCUGACCUUCCCAUCACUCUUGCUCCUACAAAAUCCUCUGUUCUGGCUGGGAUGUCAAAGGCAACCCAGAAACAUAGCAGCCCAGGAGCUCAGUCAAAGCGUCUUGCUGGCCGCUAUGAUGGAUUCCCAGUAACUACCUCCAAAAAAGAAGAAUACAAACAAACAUCUGAAGAAAAACAGUUCAGACAGAUGGAAGAACCCAAAGAAAUAGCUAAGUCUCGGCCAGAUGGACUGCCAUUCACUGUGGCUGGCAAUACCACUACGCAGCGGCAAAAUAUCAGUGGCCUAGAGAUGAACAGAGAUUUGAAAGGGAAAGUCCUGCUUGCCCACCUCACUGCUAGAAGGAGAGAUGAGGUCAUGGGAGAGAGUCAGCCUCUCUCCACAACAGUCUUACCAAAAGAAAGCUCCACCACCCAGCAGUCUUCAGCAGAUGUGUGUCCCCAUGAUGUCUUGUAUGUUUCUGACCUCAUCACAUUUUCCUCUCGCUUCUGUGGGGCAAACUUGCCUUUAAACAAGACCAUGGUCUUCAGUUCAUCUCUGGAGAUGGUGGAGGUUAUUAUGGAGCUGAUCACGACCACAGAUCGUGGGAGGGGCUUUGCGAUGCUCUUUGAAUAUAAGAACAUCACAGAACCUAAUGCCAUGGAUGUGGUGAGGCAGGAUGGAAUGGAAAACACAAUGAUGCUGGCAAUAAUAACUGGAAUUAUCUUCUUUGCACUUGUUCUUCUGUCUACCCUCUGCAUAACUUGCAGGCAGAAAAUGUGCCCCAAAAGGAACCCUUCCAAUGUACACAGUGACCAGGAGAAUGGGAUCCAGAACUCCGCCAUAGAUAUCAAUGAGCUCCAACUUGUGGUGCCAACUCGAGAGAAUGAAAACAACAAUCACACUGUCAGCCGGGACCAAGCUGUCACUUCCUCUGGAGGCAGCACAGAACACUCUUCUCGGCAUACUGACCCAGACGUGCCCUCUUCUAUGUCUGCCGUGACCACUGAAACGGGGAGCGAUGAAGUAUUUAUUAUUUCAGCCGGCCCUGGUGCCAGCGGGUUGAGUUUUACCACAUACAGAGUACAGGACAAAAACCUAAAGAGAAGUGUCACAAGUCCAGCUUCUGUGUCAGAUUGGCUGACUUCUGAUCAUGUGGCUCCAGGAGCAGGUACUGUGGAUAAAGGGAACACACAGGCAGAGAACCAUCAUCCAAGGCAACGGACAUGGAGUGCCCGCACAUUUCAUGACUUACUGACUCCAUUACCUCAGUUACAGAAAAAAUGGUAUAGCUGGACCACUAACAGCCCCUUCACUAAACUGGUAGACAGCAGUGGUCUUUCUACAGCCACAAGAAACCAGUGUGUAACAACCAGAAAAGUAAUUUCAGCUACUGAGAUAGAGGGAAUCUCAGAUACUGUUUAUUCUGACUCGUCCACCAGCACCGCAUCAUACCCGCUAACCCAAUCUGCGCAAAGGCAGGGGAAACUGAGCUCCUCUAGCUUGAAGAAAUCCAGGUUUGGGAACCCUUACUUUGGGUUUUUAACCAGCUCCCCUGAUUGCAAAGAGGUGAGGCCCUUGGAUCCCUCAAGACACGUGGGGGUGACACCUCCACUUGAUAACCAAAGCCAUGGCCCCGCUGGCCUCAAAAGCAACUUAAUCAACUGUUCGAAAACCAAGGAGCUCUCAAUAGAAAUGGACAAAUCCAAACCAGCUUUUGUUAUUUCUGAAGAAGGGGAUGACCAGCAGCCUCUGGUCCUCGCAGAGCACUUUAGUCAGUGUAGAGAUACUCUGUCUGAGCAAAAUGUUGUAUAUGCUUCAGUGAAGGCUAAGCCUGAUAAACAACCAGUGGUCUUGACUGUUCAGGGAGACAGCUCAGCCAGGCCUCCCAAUUUCACGUUGGAUCUCCCCAUUUGGGAAAAGUCUCCCAAUUUAUAUAGCAAUCACAUGAAGACUGAUAGCUCUUCCAGGGGCCAGUGCAGCUUGCCUAGUGCAGAUACCAAUACAAUUGAGUCACCAUGGAAUUUUGAUUCCUUAACUGCUCAUACACUCUGUCCAACAUCGGUUCAAUGA
ensembl:lncRNA